UUGCACUGUUACUGAACCUUUUUGGUCUCAUCUGUGACUUUUGGGGUCAAGGUACAGUGCUAAAGCAGAAACGGGCCUGCUCAUAACUGGGGCCUCCUGGAUACGUCCCAGGUCGCUCUUUUAAAAGCAGACCACAGCU